GAUGAACGCUGGCGGCGUGCUUAACACAUGCAAGUCGAACGGUAAGGCCCUUCGGGGUACACGAGUGGCGAACGGGUGAGUAACACGUGGGUGAUCUGCCCUGCACUUCGGGAUAAGCCUGGGAAACUGGGUCUAAUACCGGAUAGGACCACUGCCUGCAUGGGUGGUGGUGGAAAGCUUUUGCGGUGUGGGAUGGGCCCGCGGCCUAUCAGCUUGUUGGUGGGGUGAUGGCCUACCAAGGCGACGACGGGUAGCCGGCCUGAGAGGGUGACCGGCCACACUGGGAAUGAGAUACGGCCCAGACGCCUACGGGAGGCAGCAGUGGGGAAUAUUGCACAAUGGGCGCAAGCCUGAUGCAGCGACGCCGCGUGAGGGAUGACGGCCUUCGGGUUGUAAACCUCUUUCAGCACCGACGAAGCGCAAGUGACGGUAGGUGCAGAAGAAGGUCCGGCCAACUACGUGCCAGCCGCCGCAGUAA
rnacentral:rRNA from 1 species